rnacentral:tRNA from 1 species
GGGCCCUUAGCUUAGUCUGGUAUAGCACCCGGCUCAUACCGCUCGUCGGUCACGGCGGGCGUGGGUCACCGGGCGGUCGCUGGUUCGAAUCCGGCAGGGCCCA